rnacentral:rRNA from 1 species
GAUGAACGCUGGCGGCGUGCCUAAUACAUGCAAGUCGAGCGAACAGAUGAGGAGCUUGCUCCUCUGACGUUAGCGGCGGACGGGUGAGUAACACGUGGAUAACCUACCUAUAAGACUGGGAUAACUUCGGGGAACCGGAGCUGAUACCGGAUCAUAUAUUGUACCGCAUGGUUCAAUAGUGAAAGAGGGUUUUGCUGUUACAUAUAGACGGAUCCGCGCCGCAUUAGCUAGUUGGUAAGGUAACGGCUUACCAAGGCAACGAUGCGUAGCUGAGCUGAGAGGGUGAUCAGCCACACUGGAACUGAGACACGGUCCAGACUCCUACGGGAGGCAGCAGUGGGGAAUCUUCCGCAAUGGGCGAAAGCCUGACGGAGCCACGCCGCGUGGGUGAUGAAGGUCUUCGGAUCGUAAAACUCUUUUAUUAGGGAAGAACAGAUGUGUAAGUAACUCUGCAUGUUUUGACGGUACCUAAACAGAAAGCCACGGCUAACUACGUG